AAUUCAAUGAUUUCAACUUCACCGCUGACCAGCCACGUCUCACCGCCUUGGAGAGAUUGACCCUCCUUCCUAAUCUCCUCCAGCCAGAGCCUCUGCUAAUAAAUCU